AGAAUAGUUAGCAUUACUAGCGUGUACGGUCGGUUCCACAUUUGGUCUUUCCCAGCUUCCACAUACUGGUGAAAAGAACUCUUAAAGGCUCCAAGUUUUGCACACUGGAUGGUGAAGUUAAGCAAAGCAGUCUGAAGAUGUGCAACAUUCACAGGGUUGUUUCCUGACUAAUUCCUGCUGCAUCAAAGACAAUGAAGAACCAAGCUGGGACUCCAUCAGCUCCUGCAGAGGGACAAGUCCAAGUUGAGAGUUGUCAGCUUGUGUCUGCAAAGUCACUGCCCAUUACUCAAUACAUUUUGAGUGCAUCAUCAGUCUAACUGGACAGAUGAGGGUAUGUGCACUCAGAAGUUGUCUAGUGCCAUAGCUACCACCUGACAAACAAUUUGUGGACUGUACUUCCAACUACUAGAUUCUGGGAAGGAUUAGUUAAGAAGGGAAAAAA